rnacentral:lncRNA from 1 species
GGGUUUCAGGUUCUGCGGCUCCCUGAGACCAGCAGAUUCCUGGUCUCCGGGUCCCUGGGUCCCGGACGUGUCCAUCAAGGCGUCCAUUAGGGCCAUCACCUAAUGGACAAGCAUCAGGGAGACACUGGCCUGAGCAUAAGUCUCGAGGGUCUGCCCUGUACUAAGCAAGCGCUUAAUCAGAGGAUGUGGCUUCUGCGGGAGAGCUUCAAAGGGUGCCCUACUUGCCCCUCUUGGUAACCAUGACGUCAUGGAAAUGGGAGGGGACCGCCCCAGCCCCCAAACACCUGGAGGGAAGUGGGAGACUUUUUCCACUUCCUGUUCUACUUGUGGCUACUGACUCAAUGUCUGACCUGUUUAUUAAUUGCAAAAUAUAGCUCUAUGUGUGCUACCCA